rnacentral:rRNA from 1 species
AACGAACGCUGGCGGCAUGCCUAACACAUGCAAGUCGAACGAGACCUUCGGGUCUAGUGGCGCACGGGUGCGUAACGCGUGGGAACCUGCCCUUAGGUUCGGAAUAACUCCCCGAAAGGGGUGCUAAUACCGGAUAAUGUCUUCGGACCAAAGAUUUAUCGCCUUUGGAUGGGCCCGCGUUGGAUUAGCUAGUUGGUAGGGUAAAAGCCUACCAAGGCGACGAUCCAUAGCUGGUCUGAGAGGAUGAUCAGCCACACUGGGACUGAGACACGGCCCAGACUCCUACGGGAGGCAGCAGUGGGGAAUAUUGGACAAUGGGCGAAAGCCUGAUCCAGCAAUGCCGCGUGAGUGAUGAAGGCCUUAGGGUCGUAAAGCUCCUUUACCCGGGAUGAUAAUGACAGUACCGGGAGAAUAAGCUCCGGCUAACUCCGUG